rnacentral:lncRNA from 1 species
AUGACGUUCACAAUUCAGUCAAUGAAUUUUCACUUUUUAAAGAGACUGUUAGAUUUUUGAUAAUUUAGAAAGUACUUAAGAACAAACCGAUACAUAUAAUAAUUUCAAUAUUCAUCAAAGCCAGUAAGAAAGGCUUAGAUACCCUUGCCACUUGAGGCAGAAUUUGAAGAGCAAAAUGAACAAGCCCCUAAGCCAAGACGAUAUAACAGCGAUGGAGUGCCAGCUCAAACAAAGCGUAGAGGAGGACCGGAGACACUGGCGUGUAAAUACCGUGAAAUGUGAUGCCAUACAUACUGCUAAGUCUUACGAAGAAUUCGCAGACCGCGUGGCGGCUGUUCAUUUACAACCACUAAGCAAAACGGAUAUGUCCAAGAAGGUAACAAGGAGUUGGAACCAGUAUGCCGCCCCAGAGA